AGAUUGAACGCUGGCGGCAGGCCUAACACAUGCAAGUCGAGCGGCAGCACGGGUACUUGUACCUGGUGGCGAGCGGCGGACGGGUGAGUAAUGCCUAGGAAUCUGCCUGGUAGUGGGGGAUAACGCUCGGAAACGGACGCUAAUACCGCAUACGUCCUACGGGAGAAAGCAGGGGACCUUCGGGCCUUGCGCUAUCAGAUGAGCCUAGGUCGGAUUAGCUAGUUGGUGGAAGAUCGAC
rnacentral:rRNA from 1 species